UAGGGAAUCUUCGGCAAUGGACGAAAGUCUGACCGAGCAACGCCGCGUGAGUGAAGAAGGUUUUCGGAUCGUAAAACUCUGUUGUUAGAGAAGAACAAGGACGUUAGUAACUGAACGUCCCCUGACGGUAUCUAACCAGAAAGCCACGGCUGACUACGUGCCAGCAGCCGCGGUAAUACGUAAGUGGCAAGCGUUGUCCGGAUUUAUUGGGCGUAAAGCGAGCGCAGGCGGUUUCUUAAGUCUGAUGUGAAAGCCCCCGGCUCAACCGGGGAGGGUCAUUGGAAACUGGGAGACUUGAGUGCAGAAGAGGAGAGUGGAAUUCCAUGUGUAGCGGUGAAAUGCGUAGAUAUAUGGAGGAACACCAGUGGCGAAGGCGGCUCUCUGGUCUGUAACUGACGCUGAGGCUCGAAAGCGUGGGGAGCAAACAGG
rnacentral:rRNA from 1 species